rnacentral:lncRNA from 1 species
CAUUUGAAGAUAGUAAUAUAUUGAAAUAGAAUGAUUAUUGCUUAAAACAAGAAAAUUAGGAAGUUUUGAAAUAAAAAUAAAGACUAGAAAGUCAUUAAUAAGAAUAAAGAAGGAUUCACUCUUACUUUUAUAUAUACUAUCUCAUUAAGAGUGAUGUGGUAUUAUUCUAUAGGACUUUCAACACGUAUUGACUUUGUUAAACACAUGUCUUAACUUAUAAGGCAAAUUUUUUAUAUGUAUACUAUAUAAUUAGCUUCUUCCUUAAGCUACUAGCAUGUAUGGCAUGUAAACUUGUU